rnacentral:rRNA from 1 species
GAUAACGCUGGCGGCGCACAUAAGACAUGCAAGUCGAACGGACUUAACCGUAUAGUUUACUAUUGGAGCGGUUAGUGGCGGACUGGUGAGUAACGCGUAAGCAAUCUGCCUAUCAGAGGGGAAUAACAGUGAGAAAUCACUGCUAAUACCGCAUAAGCUGUGAGUAUCGCAUGAUACAAGUAGAAAAGGAGCAAUCCGCUGAUAGAUGAGCUUGCGUCUGAUUAGUUAGUUGGUAGGGUAACGGCCUACCAAGACGAUGAUCAGUAGCCGGACUGAGAGGUUGAACGGCCACAUUGGGACUGAGAUACGGCCCAG